rnacentral:rRNA from 1 species
AGAGUUUGAUCCUGGCUCAGAUUGAACGCUGGCGGCAGGCUUAACACAUGCAAGUCGAGCGGAGUGAUGGUGCUUGCACUAUCACUUAGCGGCGGACGGGUGAGUAAUGCUUAGGAAUCUGCCUAUUAGUGGGGGACAACAUUUCGAAAGGAAUGCUAAUACCGCAUACGUCCUACGGGAGAAAGCAGGGGAUCUUCGGACCUUGCGCUAAUAGAUGAGCCUAAGUCGGAUUAGCUAGUUGGUGGGGUAAAGGCCUACCAAGGCGACGAUCUGUAGCGGGUCUGAGAGGAUGAUCCGCCACACUGGGACUGAGACACGGCCCAGACUCCUACGGGAGGCAGCAGUGGGGAAUAUUGGACAAUGGGCGCAAGCCUGAUCCAGCCAUGCCGCGUGUGUGAAGAAGGCCUUAUGGUUGUAAAGCACUUUAAGCGAGGAGGAGGCUACUGAAGUUAAUACCUUCAGAUAGUGGACGUACUCGCAGAAUAAGCACCGCAA